GCGGGGAUAGUCAAGCCUGGCCAAAGGCGCAGGACUUAAGAUCCUGUCUCGAAGGAGUUCAAGGGUUCAAAUCCCUUUCCCCGCA
rnacentral:tRNA from 1 species